GCCCCUUCUAGAAGGUCAGCCAGUGGCUCACAGGAGCUGCCCUGGCCUGGCUCACCCAACAUGGAGCAUGAGGCUGAGGAGGUCUCCUGGGAACCCUUCGAGGCCAAUAUGCUUACCCAGAGCUGCUGUCAAAACUGCCUCCACCCUGAGGAGGCCCAUGGAGCAAGACACCAGGAGCUGGGGAGCCCUUCCAGUGCUGAGGCGCCCUACUGCGACCUGCCCCGCUGCCCACCAGCCCCUGAGGACCUGCUCGGCGCCUCCACCUCCGAUUGCCAGGGGCCCAAGAGGGGCCUGUCCCUGACAGCAGGGCUUCCUGAGGAGGACCCCACAGCUGCCCCCAGGAGCAGGCACCAGGAGCUGGAGGCAGUGCCCUAUCUGGAGGGCCUGGCCCCCUCCCCGAGUGGCAGCUGCUACGAGGACCCCAACUCUGACACCAGCUGCAGCCCUGGCACUUCCACCCAUGACACCGGCAGGUCGUCCUCUGUGGACUGCGACACUGUGGAGAGGUGGGCGGAAGUCCCCAGCUGGGACCUGCUCGCGAUGAUCCCGCAGAGGCCCCAGGAGGGGCAAAGAGCCGAAGGUGCCCGAAGGGCCACCAGGUCCCCUACAAGAGGAGACACUGCAGGCCAGAAAAAGGAUGGUUGGGAUCCGUAAGUUGCAAGGAAAGAAACUGGUUGAACACGAAUGGAAUGACUCACA
rnacentral:lncRNA from 1 species